UACCAUGCAAGUCGACGAUGAACCACUUCGGUGGGGAUUAGUGGCGAACGGGUGAGUAACACGUGGGCAAUCUGCCCUGCACUCUGGGACAAGCCCUGGAAACGGGGUCUAAUACCGGAUAUGACCGUCUUGGGCAUCCUUGAUGGUGUAAAGCUCCGGCGGUGCAGGAUGAGCCCGCGGCCUAUCAGCUUGUUGGUGAGGUAACGGCUCACCAAGGCGACGACGGGUAGCCGGCCUGAGAGGGCGACCGGCCACACUGGGACUGAGACACGGCCCAGACUCCUACGGGAGGCAGCAGUGGGGAAUAUUGCACAAUGGGCGAAAGCCUGAUGCAGCGACGCCGCGUGAGGGAUGACGGCCUUCGGGUUGUAAACCUCUUUCAGCAGGGAAGAAGCGAAAGUGACGGUACCUGCAGAAGAAGCGCCGGCUAACUACGUGCCAGCAGCCGCGGUAAUACGUAGGGCGCAAGCGUUGUCCGGAAUUAUUGGGCGUAAAGAGCUCGUAGGCGGCUUGUCACGUCGGUUGUGAAAGCCCGGGGCUUAACCCCGGGUCUGCAGUCGAUACGGGCAGGCUAGAGUUCGGUAGGGGAGAUCGGAAUUCCUGGUGUAGCGGUGAAAUGCGCAGAUAUCAGGAGGAACACCGGUGGCGAAGGCGGAUCUCUGGGCCGAUACUGACGCUGAGGAGCGAAAGCGUGGGGAGCGAACAGGAUUAGAUACCCUGGUAGUCCACGCCGUAAACGGUGGGCACUAGGUGUGGGCAACAUUCCACGUUGUCCGUGCCGCAGCUAACGCAUUAAGUGC
rnacentral:rRNA from 1 species